rnacentral:rRNA from 1 species
AAUGGCGAAGGCAGGUCUCUGGGCCGUUACUGACGCUGAGGAGCGAAAGCGUGGGGAGCGAACAGGAUUAGAUACCCUGGUAGUCCACGCCGUAAACGGUGGAUGCUGGAUGUGGGGCCCGUUCCACGGGUUCCGUGUCGGAGCUAACGCGUUAAGCAUCCCGCCUGGGGAGUACGGCCGCAAGGCUAAAACUCAAAGAAAUUGACGGGGGCCCGCACAAGCGGCGGAGCAUGCGGAUUAAUUCGAUGCAACGCGAAGAACCUUACCUGGGCUUGACAUGUUCCCGACAGCCGUAGAGAUACGGCCUCCCUUCGGGGCGGGUUCACAGGUGGUGCAUGGUCGUCGUCAGCUCGUGUCGUGAGAUGUUGGGUUAAGUCCCGCAACGAGCGCAACCCUCGCCCUGUGUUGCCAGCACGUCAUGGUGGGAACUCACGGGGGACCGCCGGGGUCAACUCGGAGGAAGGUGGGGAUGACGUCAGAUCAUCAUGCCCCUUACGUCCAGGGCUUCACGCAUGCUACAAUGGCCGGUACAACGGGAUGCGACAUGGCGACAUGGAGCGGAUCCCUGAAAACCGGUCUCAGUUCGGAUUGGAGUCUGCAACCCGACUCCAUGAAGGCGGAGUCGCUAGUAAUCGCGGAUCAGCAACGCCGCGGUGAAUGCGUUCCCGGGCCUUGUACACACCGCCCGUCAAGUCAUGAAAGUGGGUAGCACCCGAAGCCGGUGGCCUAACCCCUUGUGGGAUGGAGCCGUCUAAGGUGAGACUCGUGAUUGGGACUAAGUCGUAACAAGGUAGCCGUACCGGAAGGUGCGGCUG